rnacentral:rRNA from 1 species
AAAUUGAAGAGUUUGAUCAUGGCUCAGAUUGAACGCUGGCGGCAGGCCUAACACAUGCAAGUCGAACGGUAACAGGAAGCAGCUUGCUGCUUCGCUGACGAGUGGCGGACGGGUGAGUAAUGUCUGGGAAACUGCCUGAUGGAGGGGGAUAACUACUGGAAACGGUAGCUAAUACCGCAUAACGUCGCAAGACCAAAGAGGGGGACCUUCGGGCCUCUUGCCAUCAGAUGUGCCCAGAUGGGAUUAGCUUGUUGGUGGGGUAACGGCUCACC